UACGGGGGUGCGAGCGUUGUCCGGAAUCACUGGGCGUAAAGGGCGCGUAGGUGGUUUGAUAAGGGUGUGGUGAAAGUCCGGGGACCUCAACCCCGGAUCUGGCCGGUGCCGACUGUCAAACUCGAGGACUGUAGAGGCAGACGGAAUUCCGGGUCGUAGCGGUGGAAUGCGUAGAGAUCCGGAAGAACACCGGUGGCGAAGGCGGCCUGCUGGGCAGUGGCUGACGCUGAGGCGCGACAG
rnacentral:rRNA from 1 species